AUUGAACGCUGGCGGCAGGCUUAACACAUGCAAGUCGAGCGGAGUGAUGGUGCUUGCACCAUCACUUAGCGGCGAACGGGUGAGUAAUGCCUAGGAAUCUGCCCAUUAGCGGGGGACAACGUGUGGAAACGCACGCUAAUACCGCAUACGCCCUACGGGGGAAAGCAGGGGACUCUUUGAGCCUUGCACUAAUGGAUGAGCCUAGGUCAGAUUAGCUAGUUGGUGGGGUAAAGGCCUACCAAGGCGACGAUCUGUAGCGGGUCUGAGAGGAUGAUCCGCCACACUGGAACUGAGACACGGUCCAUACUCCUACGGGAGGCGGCAGUGGGGAAUAUUGGACAAUGGGCGCAAGCGUGAUCCAGCCAUGCCGCGUGUGUGAAGAAGGCCUUUUGGUUGUAAAGCACUUUAAGCGAGGAGGAGGCUUACCUGGUUAAUACCUGGGAUAAGUGGACGUUACUCGCAGAAUAAGCACCGGCUGACUCGGUG
rnacentral:rRNA from 1 species